rnacentral:rRNA from 1 species
GAUGAACGCUGGCGGCGUGCUUAACACAUGCAAGUCGAACGAUGAAGCCCAGCUUGCUGGGUGGAUUAGUGGCGAACGGGUGAGUAACACGUGAGCAACCUGCCCCUGACUCUGGGAUAAGCGCUGGAAACGGCGUCUAAUACUGGAUAUGUCCCGUCACCGCAUGGUGUGCGGGUGGAAAGAUUUUUCGGUUGGGGAUGGGCUCGCGGCCUAUCAGCUUGUUGGUGAGGUAAUGGCUCACCAAGGCGUCGACGGGUAGCCGGCCUGAGAGGGUGACCGGCCACACUGGGACUGAGACACGGCCCAGACUCCUACGGGAGGCAGCAGUGGGGAAUAUUGCACAAUGGGCGGAAGCCUGAUGCAGCAACGCCGCGUGAGGGAUGACGGCCUUCGGGUUGUAAACCUCUUUUAGCAGGGAAGAAGCGGAAGUGACGGUACCUGCAGAAAAAGCACCGGCUAACUACGUG